rnacentral:miRNA from 1 species
UUCACCUGGACCAUAACUGACC